rnacentral:lncRNA from 1 species
GUAAUUUUUUUUAUUGGAUUAUUAAAACUUCCUAAGGUAUCGUAGGUGUGGUCAUUCAAAAGCAUUUUUAUUCAAUAUUAUAUUUAGAAAAAACAACAAGAUUGAUUUUAGACAUAAAAUAAAAUACGUUCAGUACUACAAAACAAUGAUAAUUAAAAAAUACGACUACAUCCAUGUAUAUUUAUGUUACAUAUUAUACAGAUUCUGAAAGAUGCUACCCCGUCACACCUCAUAACACAACACAAGAAAAAAGUACACCACUGGAGCACCCAAGAUUCUUGGAUUUAUAAAUAGGUAGCUAAUUUCUAUUUUGUGAAGAGCACUAAGUCUCCUUUGACAGGCACUUGACAUUAAAUAUUAAUGUGAAUAACAAGAACAAGAUUCUACAGCGAAAAUAUUGAAAUCGAAUGACGUAAACAUGGCGGUAUCAAUGGCACCCAAAACCCACAGUACACAGAGGAAAAUAGUAGGGACACGCAAAUCUAACUGUCAAAAAACAAUUGUUCCAAUUCACAGCCGCAGGAUGGCGCUGUUAUGACUAAAAUAUUACAAAAUUCUGUAUUGCAUUAGUUACGUAAUGGCGCCACAAGAUGCCGUAACAUGCAGCUAAAUCUUAUUUUAGGGAUUCCUAGUCGCGAUUUUAAUAUUUUGAUAUUCCGAUUUUCUGAUAGUUUUAUGUUUUAUUGCGGUUGUUUUAAUCAGUUUGUUUUGUAUAUUAUAGUGCUACUUCUAUAAUAGGUAGUGCUAGCUGUGCUAGUGACCCUAUAGUGCCCUGUACUAUUUAUAAUUUGACUAUUAUUAUUGGCAAGAGAUGGGAUGGAGGAGGAGGACCACUGUUUUCAGAAUAACCCUCCCAAAAGGAUAAAACAAAGACCAUGUUGUGUUCAGGAAUGUACAGAUUUCUCUAGUAAGCCGCAUCGGUUUCCGAAAAACAAUCGCAGGCUCCUAAGGGCUUGGAUAAAAGCUGUAAGACCAAAACAUUCUCCAGAGAAGAUUGUGUGCCAGGCACAGUUGGAGGUCUUAGAAUUAAUGCAGUCCCUACUAUUAAUCUACCAGUGGAUCAGGACAUCGAAGUAAGGGAUGAUUUGUUUGAAAAUACAGUAAUGUCAAUUGAUUGUGACAGUUCAUCUAUGGGAAUAGAUCUUAUAACACUACCAGAUCCCAUACUUAGCCAAAAUUUCCCUUUAACAAAUAUCAGUCAACAAGAGAAUAGGCCCAUGUCUGCUUCCUUUAAUUAUUUAGGAAAUACUUCUGCCUGCAUGCCUGUUCAGAGUUCAAAUCCAGUUAUAGCAGAGGUCCCUCUCAAGGUCCCCCUGGAAGGUUGUAUGGGCAAUAAGAUGGAUCUAAGUGACUUAUCAUUGGGUCACAAAUAUUUCAAAAUAAUAGAAAAUCAUCCCAACAGAAAAUUAUCCAGUACUCGUGGUAAAAUGAAAAUUUCAGGAGAGCACUUUUGGUGCUUACACUAUGAGACUUAACGAAUGUAGACUAAAUGUAGAAAAUACAUGGACAUCCCACCUUUUUUCUUUGUACUUUUCAUAUUUCAUUACAUUACAAUUACAUUUUGUCUUGAAUGUCCCAUAAUUUUAAGUACGACUAAUUAUAAUUUCUUGAUAAUAAACAGUUUGUAAAUAAAAUAUGGGUAUAACUUUA